CUUGACACUGAACAUUGAGCCUUGAUGUGUAGGAUAGGUGGGAGGCUUUGAAGCGUGGACGCCAGUCUGCGUGGAGCCAACCUUGAAAUACCACCCUUUAAUGUUUGAUGUUCUAACGUUGGCCCCUGACCGGGGUUGCGGACAGUGUCUGGUGGGUAGUUUGACUGGGGCGGUCUCCUCCCAAAGCGUAACGGAGGAGCACGAAGGUUAGCUAAUCCUGGUCGGACAUCAGGAGGUUAGUGCAAUGGCAUAAGCUAGCUUGACUGCGAGCGUGACGGCGCGAGCAGGUGCGAAAGCAGGUCAUAGUGAUCCGGUGGUUCUGAAUGGAAGGGCCAUCGCUCAACGGAUAAAAGGUACUCCGGGGAUAACAGGCUGAUACCGCCCAAGAGUUCAUAUCGACGGCGGUGUUUGGCACCUCGAUGUCGGCUCAUCACAUCCUGGGGCUGAAGUAGGUCCCAAGGGUAUGGCUGUUCGCCAUUUAAAGUGGUACGCGAGCUGGGUUUAGAACGUCGUGAGACAGUUCGGUCCCUAUCUGCCGUGGGCGCUGGAGAAUUGAGGGGGGCUGCUCCUAGUACGAGAGGACCGGAGUGGACGCAUCACUGGUGUUCGGGUUGUCAUGCCAAUGGCACUGCCCGGUAGCUAAAUGCGGAAGAGAUAAGUGCUGAAAGCAUCUAAGCACGAAACUUGCCCCGAGAUGAGUUCUCCCUGAGACUUUAAGUCUCCUGAAGGAACGUUAAAGACGAUGACGUUGAUAGGCCGGGUGUGUAAGCGCAGCGAUGCGUUGAGCUAACCGGUACUAAUGAACCGUGAGGCUUAACCUU
rnacentral:rRNA from 1 species